AUACCUUUCUCGGCCUUUUGGCUAAGAUCAAGUGUAGUAUCUGUUCUUAUCAGUUUAAUAUCUGAUAUGUGGACCAAGUGUUCACAACGAUAUUAAAUUUAUUUUUUGUGGGAGAGAGUCCAUCACGGUAGCUUGCUGCCGGGGCUCUCACGUGUCGCCCAGUCGUUGCACUAUUGCCUGGGCUUGGCGCACCCCAA